rnacentral:rRNA from 1 species
CUGCUUUUAAUACUGCAGGACUAGAGUCCGGAAGAGGAUAGCGGAAUUCCUAGUGUAGAGGUGAAAUUCGUAGAUAUUAGGAGGAACACCAGUGGCGAAGGCGGCUGUCUGGUCCGGUACUGACGCUGAGGUGCGAAAGCGUGGGGAGCAAACAGGAUUAUAUACCCUGGUAGUCCACGCUGUAAACGAUGAGUGCUGAAUGUGGGGGCUUUUGCCUCUGUGUUGUAGCUAACGCGUUAAGCACUCCGCCUGGGGACUACGGUCGCAAGACUAAAACUCAAAGGAAUUGACGGGGACCCGCACAAGCGGUGGAGCAUGUGGUUUAAUUCGAUGCAACGCGAAAAACCUUACCACUUCUUGACAUGGAGGCUAGAUCCUUCUUAACGGGAGGGCGCAGUUCGGCUGGACCUCACACAGGUGCUGCAUA